rnacentral:rRNA from 1 species
CAGGCUUAACACAUGCAAGUCGAGGGGCAGCAUGGUCUUAGCUUGCUAAGGCCGAUGGCGACCGGCGCACGGGUGAGUAACACGUAUCCAACCUGCCGUCUACUCUUGGACAGCCUUCUGAAAGGAAGAUUAAUACAAGAUGGCAUCAUGAGUCCGCAUGUUCACAUGAUUAAAGGUAUUCCGGUAGACGAUGGGGAUGCGUUCCAUUAGAUAGUAGGCGGGGUAACGGCCCACCUAGUCUUCGAUGGAUAGGGGUUCUGAGAGGAAGGUCCCCCACAUUGGAACUGAGACACGGUCCAAACUCCUACGGGAGGCAGCAGUGAGGAAUAUUGGUCAAUGGGCGCAGGCCUGAACCAGCCAAGUAGCGUGAAGGAUGACUGCCCUAUGGGUUGUAAACUUCUUUUAUAAAGGAAUAAAGUCGGGUAUGGAUACCCGUUUGCAUGUACUUUAUGAAUAAGGAUCGGCUAACUCCGUGCCAGCAGCCGCGGUAAUACGGAGGAUCCGAGCGUUAUCCGGAUUUAUUGGGUUUAAAGGGAGCGUAGAUGGAUGUUUAAGUCAGUUGUGAAAGUUUGCGGCUCAACCGUAAAAUUGCAGUUGAUACUGGAUAUCUUGAGUGCAGUUGAGGCAGGCGGAAUUCGUGGUGUAGCGGUGAAAUGCUUAGAUAUCGCGAAGAACUCCGAUUGCGAAGGCAGCCUGCUAAGCUGCAACUGACAUUGAGGCUCGAAAGUGUGGGUAUCAAACAGGAUUAGAUACCCUGGUAGUCCACACGGUAAACGAUGAAUACUCGCUGUUUGCGAUAUACGGCAAGCGGCCAAGCGAAAGCGUUAAGUAUUCCACCUGGGGAGUACGCCGGCAACGGUGAAACUCAAAGGAAUUGACGGGGGCCCGCACAAGCGGAGGAACAUGUGGUUUAAUUCGAUGAUACGCGAGGAACCUUACCCGGGCUUAAAUUGCAGAUGAAUUACGGUGAAAGCCGUAAGCCGCAAGGCAUCUGUGAAGGUGCUGCAUGGUUGUCGUCAGCUCGUGCCGUGAGGUGUCGGCUUAAGUGCCAUAACGAGCGCAACCCUUGUUGUCAGUUACUAACAGGUUCCGCUGAGGACUCUGACAAGACUGCCAUCGUAAGAUGUGAGGAAGGUGGGGAUGACGUCAAAUCAGCACGGCCCUUACGUCCGGGGCUACACACGUGUUACAAUGGGGGGUACAGAGGGCCGCUACCACGCGAGUGGAUGCCAAUCCCAAAAACCUCUCUCAGUUCGGACUGGAGUCUGCAAACCGACUCCACGAAGCUGGAUUCGCUAGUAAUCGCGCAUCAGCCACGGCGCGGUGAAUACGUUCCCGGGCCUUGUACACACCGCCCGUCAAGCCAUGGGAGCCGGGGGUACCUGAAGUGCGUAACCGCGAGGAGCGCCCUAGGGUAAAACUGGUGACUGGGGCUAAGUC